AGCGAACGCUGGCGGCAGGCCUAACACAUGCAAGUCGAGCGCCCCGCAAGGGGAGCGGCAGACGGGAGAGUAACACGUGGGAACGUACCCUUCGGUUCGGAACAACCCAGGGAAACUUGGGCUAAUACCGGAUACGUCCGAAAGGAGAAAGAUUUAUCGCCGAAGGAUCGGCCCGCGUCUGAUUAGCUAGUUGGUGGGGUAAUGGCUCACCAAGGCGACGAUCAGUAGCUGGUCUGAGAGGAUGAUCAGCCUCACUGGGACUGAGACACGGCCCAGACUCCUACGGGAGGCAGCAGUGGGGAAUAUUGGACAAUGGGCGCAAGCCUGAUCCAGCCAUGCCGCGUGGGUGAUGAAGGCCCUAGGGUUGUAAAGCCCUUUCGGCGGGGAAGAUAAUGACGGUACCCGCAGAAGAAGCCCCGGCUAACUUCGUGCCAGCCGCCGCCGUAA
rnacentral:rRNA from 1 species